GGAGCAGAAGCCAUAAGCUAAUGAAAUGUCAUGGGACUGGACACACUAAUGUUAAGGUCUAUGGGCUUUACAUCCACAGUUCCAAAAAUCUGUCAUCUCAGAGCAUUAGCAUCCAGCUAUUUUUUUUUUAGUUUUUGUAGAGAUGGGGUUUCACCAUAUUGGCCAGACUGGUCUUGAACUCCUGGCCUCAAGUGAUCCACCUGUGUCGGCCUCCCAAAGUGCCCUGAACCAAUACGCCUGGCCAAGUGUGUCUCUCUUUAAAUAACUCUCCCCCUUUUUUUCUGUUCCACAUCAUCCUGUUUGGAAGAUAGAGAUUUCAUUUUGCAGCACUUCUCCCAAACACUUGUCAUCUUCCCUUUGGGAGUCUCUGUCCAGGGAAUCUUAUUAUUUAGGAAAAAUUUUUAGAUGUGUCUUACCAAAGUCUCGGAUAUAUAUCUAAUGAUGUCCAACUCUCCCUAUCAUGAACUCUAGAAUAACCUGACCACUUUUGCCCAUGGGUUUCUGUCACUUCUACUUUUCAGACUGGUUCCUUCCGGUGGCCAGCAUUUGGUACUUCCUCUACUUUCUGUGAAGACUCUCAUUUAGUUAAAAAAAAGAAAAAAAAAAUUACUGAUGCCGUGGAGCAUAGUAUUUGUAGAUACAAAGGACCUCAGAGGUCAGCCCCUCUCACUUGUUAUAUGAGGCAUCUAAAGUUCUAAGGACUGAGAUGUUUGCCCAAGGUCAUGUAGUUAAUAAAUAUCAUCUAUAUCAGGCCACUUCGUAUGAUUGGGCAGGAUGUUUAUUACCAAAAAGCAACCACCUGACGGGUGAGUAGGGACCAAAAUCCAGUCUGUGCUCCUCUUGCCUUGCCAAGCUGUGAGUCCUGCUUAGGACUCUAUGCCACACCCCACCACCAGAGAAAAAGGCCUCUCUGUGAUUUUUAUAAAGGCACUAUUUGGCUAAUAGUGACGCUAAUCUAUAUGUAAACUUUUCUUCUAAUUAUCUCAAACCUAAGUGUUAGAAAAAAGUUAAUUAGGAAGAAACUUUGCAUUUUUAUUUUAAAGGAAUUAGUAUCCUAUAACUUUUAUGUUCCUAACAAUUCUUACAUCUUUUUCAAAUGCUAUUUGUUAAUUCUUAAGCAAUCUUGGCAUUCACAGAUUGGGUUGUUUGUUUGUUUGUGGAAACAAGGUCUCACUAUGUUGCCUAGGCUGGUCUCAGACUCCUGGGCUCAAGCAGUUCUCCCGCCUCAGCCCCCCAAAGUGCUGGAACAACAGGGAUGAGCCACCAUGCCUGGCCAGAUUUGAUCAUUUUUGCUUCACCUACUCAAAUUAUGGGGAUGGGGUACAGAUUCAUUUUUGCUUCACCUACUCAAAUUAUGGGGAUGGGAUACAGGUUCAGACUAGGGUCUCAGGAUCCAGGACUCUGCUUGAGAAUAAGAAGGGCUGGCCCAGGGUUAUAGGGUGGAACCAAAGAGAGACUUAUGCCCCCACCCACAUAAGGGCAGCUUUCUGUCUGAUACAAAGGACCUAGUCCAAGGAGACAAGAACUUAAUCACAAGGGAAAAGUCUGGAGUAGAGGACAGGACAGAGAGUAGUUCAGAGGCAGACGCUGGAAAGAUUUCCUGAGACAAAGGUUCCUGGGGAGUGUUCUUUUGUAGGGGCCUCCUGUGUGCUUUGGAUAAAACUGGAAAGUCCAAAAGGCCUAGUCAGCCUGCAGAGCUCCGAGGCAAUGCAACAAUGCCACUGGAGGUCAAGAGGAGGCGAUGACAUCAGAGACCAAUGACCUGGUUUCAGUGGGACAAAACACUGCAACAAGAGCCCAGCAAGUGCCCACUGGGCCAAACAAAAGCCCACUGUGAACCAGCCACAACACCACCAAUGCCACUGUCAGCUCAGUAAGGGACUGACUGUAUUUUCACACUUGCUGCAGCAUUCAAAUGCCUUGCUCGGUAAGUGUGCAAUACACAUGCGCAUUGAUGAGUGGCUGACAACUUUCCAGCUGUGCCAAAUGUAUGGGGACGUAAAGAGGACCUCCAAAUGUAACCAGAACACCCACAUUUAAUCCGAACUCUGCCCCCUUCUAGCUUUGUGACUCUGGAAGUCCUUCAGCCUCUCUGAGCUUCUAUGUCUUCAUCUGCAAAAUAAAAAUGAUAAUGAUAUUCUCCUCCGAGGCAUUUCUAAGGAGUAAAUGAGACUGACUUCUAAGUGCUCGGUAGACAUCCAGUGGUCAUAAGACAGAUUCAUUUAAAUGGUAAACACGUUAAGCACUAAUGUUAUAAAAUAACUGCUUAGUGGAAAAUAAGAUGAGAUUUUAAAAUUGAGGAUAUGGUCAUCUAUAUCUUUGCCAUUUAAAAUAAGUUUGAGGGAAAAAAGGAUACCCGUAAGCGCGUAGGAAAUUGUGGAAGUGGCUGCAAAUAAACGCGUAUUUAUUGU
rnacentral:lncRNA from 1 species